rnacentral:rRNA from 1 species
AUUGAACGCUGGCGGCAUGCUUUACACAUGCAAGUCGAACGGUAACAGCACUUCGGUGGCUGACGAGUGGCGAACGGGUGAGUAUACAUCGGAACGUGCCUAGUAGUGGGGGAUAACUACUCGAAAGAGUAGCUAAUACCGCAUGAGAUCUAAGGAUGAAAGCAGGGGACCUUCGGGCCUUGCGCUACUAGAGCGGCUGAUGGCAGAUUAGGUAGUUGGUGGGAUAAAAGCUUACCAAGCCGACGAUCUGUAGCUGGUCUGAGAGGACGACCAGCCACACUGGGACUGAGACACGGCCCAGACUCCUACGGGAGGCAGCAGUGGGGAAUUUUGGACAAUGGGCGCAAGCCUGAUCCAGCAAUGCCGCGUGCAGGAUGAAGGCCUUCGGGUUGUAAACUGCUUUUGUACGGAACGAAAAGCCCUCUUCUAAUACAGGAGGGUCAUGACGGUACCGUAAGAAUAAGCACCGGCUAACUACGUG